GACGAACGCGGGCGGCGUGCCUAAUACAUGCAAGUCGAACGCUUCUUUUUUCACCGAAUUCGGUUCAUCGAAAAAGAGGAGUGGCGAACGGGUGAGUAACACGUGGGUAAUCCUGCCCAUCAGAAGGGGAUAACACUUGGAAACAGGUGCUAAUACCGUAUAAUGCUUUUUCUCGCAUGAGAGCAAGCUGAAAGGCGCUUUUGCGUCACUGAUGGAUGGACCCGCGGUGCAUUAGCUAGUUGGUGAGGUAACGGCUCACCAAGGCCACGAUGCAUAGCCGACCUGAGAGGGUGAUCGGCCACACUGGGACUGAGACACGGCCCAGACUCCUACGGGAGGCAGCAGUAGGGAAUCUUCGGCAAUGGACGAAAGUCUGACCGAGCAACGCCGCGUGAGUGAAGAAGGUUUUCGGAUCGUAAAACUCUGUUGUUAGAGAAGAACAAGGAUGAGAG
rnacentral:rRNA from 1 species